rnacentral:lncRNA from 1 species
UAAAACUUUUCUUUCCGCAACUGGGACUAGCGCAAUCGCGCUAGUGCCCGCGCUAGUAUCCUAACAUUCUGCCUCAACCGUCUGGACUAGCGCGAUCGCGCUAGUGGGCACGCUAGUUCAAACCUUUAUUUCCUCGAUUUUUUAUCUAGUCUUCGCACGUACUCAGCUCCUAGGGGUUUUUCUUGCUCCAAUAUAGCUUCAAUCACAACUUUAAGACCUCAUUUAAGCUCUUUAUCCUGCAAUGUGUGAAAUUCACAAUUAGAAUCUUUUUUUAUCAUUUAACUAUAUUAUGAUACUGAAACAUAAUCAAGCUGGAGUAUAAACAAUCGCCAAAUUACAUAAAUCAAGCUGGAGUAUAAACAAUCGCCAAAUUACAUAAAUCAAGCAUAUUAUCAAUAUGCCAGGAGAUGGACGAAGAAGGAUGAUCGUUGCCCGAAAUGGAGCGAAUAUGGUCUGUCCAUGGCUGAAAUGGCUUGAAACUUAGAUAUGGAAGAGGAAAGGGUUGAGAAGGUGCCACUUAGAAACCUUAGUUGGCUUCUUGCUUGUGCUCGAAAUAGGGCUGGUCUGAUCUUAAUAGGCUCUUAAUUGGAAAAAUGAU